rnacentral:rRNA from 1 species
UACGAAGGGGGCGAGCGUUGUUCGGAAUUACUGGGCGUAAAGGGCGCGCAGGCGGCCUAUCCAGUCAGGUGUGAAAGCCCCGAGCUCAACUUGGGAACUGCACUUGAUACUGAUAGGCUAGAAAACGGAAGAGGGCAGUGGAAUUCCCAGUGUAGAGGUGAAAUUCGUAGAUAUUGGGAAGAACACCAGUGGCGAAAGCGGCUGCCUGGUCCGAUUUUGACGCUGAGGCGCGAAAGCGUGGGUAGCAAACAGG